rnacentral:rRNA from 1 species
UGGUAGGAUAGCGUAAUUAACGCGAUGAAGGAUGACCGUAAGGACAUGUUGGAGCGUUAACUAGUGAGAAUUCCGGUAUGAGUAGCGAAAGAUAGGUGAGAAUCCUAUCCACCGAAUGAGUAAGGUUUCCCCCGGAAGGCUCGUCCGCGGGGGGUUAGUCGGGACCUAAGGCGAGGCUGAAAAGCGUAGUCGAUGGACAACAGGUUGAUAUUCCUGUACCGAUAUUUAAUUGCCGAAGGAAGGACGCAGAAGGAUAACACAGGCCACUAUUGGAUGUGGUUUUAAACAGUUAGUCUUCAUAAGAGUCAAAUGCUUUUAUGUUUAAGGAUAAGCUGUGAAUGUACCAAGUUUACUUGGAAAUUGUGUGAUUUCACGCUGCUGAAAAAAGUUUCGUAGGAAGAAAAUAUUGCCCGUACCGCAAACCGACACAGGUACUCAAGUGGAGAACACUAAGGUGAGCGAGUGAACUAUUGUUAAGGAACUCUGCAAAAUGAGUCCGUAACUUCGGAAGAAGGACUGCUGGUUUUAUACCAGCCGCAGCAAAUAGGCCCAAACAACUGUUUAUCAAAAACACAGGUUUCUGCAAAAUCGUAAGAUGAAGUAUAGGGGCUGACGCCUGCCCAGUGCUGGAAGGUUAAAAGGAGGACUUAGCUUCGGCGAAGGUCUUAAUUGAAGCCCCAGUGAACGGCGGCCGUAACUAUAACGGUCCUAAGGU